rnacentral:lncRNA from 1 species
GCAUGGGAGCUGCAGGAUCUGGGCUCAGGGUUCUCUGCUGGGAGCUGGGAUCGCAUCCCUUUGCUCUCUGCCCACUGCCUCCCUCAUAGCGAUGGGGAGGAAGGGCGGGUGAGUGGAGCAGCUCAGUGUGGGCCUAUUUCAACAGAGCACAGUCCUGCAUUGUGUCAUGCAGAAGCUGCAUAGACCCUGGGAGGAGUACAUAGCAGUGCUUCAUGCUCCUGCACAUAAACCACAGCUACAGCAUCUGGACUCCCUGCCCCCUCUGGGUAAGCAGCAGAUCCUUGGCCAGAAGCCAGUCCGUCUCACUUGGAACACUUUUCUUGUCCCCUUCACUGUGCUCCCCAGCAACUUCAAGAAAUCUGCUGACCAGUUCCUCUGCAAACCUGAAAAUAAAACAUGCUGCAGUAGUGACAAAUCCACAAAAAGCAGAAACUCCACUUUAAAAAUGAUUGGUGUCUGAGUGUGUUGGGCUUUUUUUUUUUUUCCUUGGUGUUUUUCUCCUCCCUGAGUGAGAAGCUUUUAGCAGUUCACAUAGGAGUCACAUGAAAAGGAAUUUUCCCAGUGGGGUGCAGGAUGUCUGCCUGGGUGUAGGGCUGUUUUGUUGCCUGAGUGUGGGGAGAUGCUGAACCUGUCAGCACCGGUUCCCGAGAGCACCCCAUAGGAUGAGGGGUGUGUGUCCACCAUGGAUUUCCCGGUGUAGCGGUGUCUCCCCUAACGCAAGUUCACACC